UUUACCUUCUUUAAGAAAAUUUUUUAUAUUAUGAUUGAUCCUUUGUUGUAUUACUUUAGAUCAUCUCCCAUAUAGAUGUAUAACUUUUAAUCAAUCUAAGAUGAACAGCAAAUGGACAUCAGGCAGACAAGGAUUUUGUUGAAGGCAGGGAGCAGAGUGGACGUUGGCGAAGAAAGGUAAAGGCAGGACUACGUCACAGGAGAUGAGACGACAGUUGCGGUCCAGAUCUGAGUUUCAACGACGCUGGAAAGAAAUUAACUAUAUCAUCAAUGGACAAAGGAUCGCCUUUUUUUGGACGACGAAAACACCUUCAACACAUUGAAGACUGCCGCCGGGAUGUGUCGUAGUGCAAGUGACGGUGCCUGAGACACAUGACAGUGUUGGAGAUGCGAAGAUUAGUCCAAUUGCGGAGAAAAGCUAAAAUUGCAGAUAUCCACCCGAAAA